rnacentral:lncRNA from 1 species
GACGGCAGUGGGUCCUCCUACAGCUGCUGAUUGUUGCGUCGAAGAGAGGGGCGGUCGGUUGUGGCGCUCUUCACCGGGGAAGAGAGGCGAGCCGCGCAGUGCAUGUGGCUCCUAACCUUGAAAAAGGAGCCGACAAUUUGAGGGACGCGAUGCCUGAAGGUUUCGCGCUCACUGGGAAGCGGCGAUUUGAGGGAGGCGACAAUUUGGGGAAGGCGGCGAUUUGGGAUUUCCGGGGGUUUCGCCUCCUCCACGCUUGAUGAGAUCACCGGAAUCGCCUCAAUCGAGCAGAAUCUUCUCGCUGUUGCCGGCC